AUUUUCUUGUGCUCUUUUUACUUAUUUUGUUAAUUUUAUUUACUUUUUCUCCUCAUUCUCUAUAAUCAUUACUUGCUACAUCUGCUCUACUGUCUCUGUACCUACAUUUUAAAUAUUCUAAACUUCUUUUUUAGUGAUUCAUUUUCCUUCAUCUUAAUGAGCUGUGUUUUUACCCUGCUCAUAAACUAUUUGGUUUACAUACUUGCUGCUAACACCAUUCACAUUUUAUUGUUAUUAGUACUGAGGAUGGCACAGUUGACACCUACUUCUUAAGGCUAGAUCUAGUUCAUUGUUACUUACUAUUUUUGAGCAUCACAUUUUUUGACACCUCCAUUCCUUUUUUUUGUCAUAAUUAGUGUUUUAUAUGUCAUAGGAAGCAAUAAGUACUUAUUGUAAAGCAGUACAUUGUUUCUUUUUAUUGUUCCUUCUGUUUGAAUUCUCCUUUUCUUGUGAGGUGUUAAGAGUCUACUGGGAUACUAUGAGCUCACAGGGUAGAAGUUCUGCUGCUGAGCUCAAUCUAGCCAAGAGACAGUACAUUGCUCCACAUAAAAAUUAACCACACUCAAAUUUCUUUCUUUCUUUUUUUUUUAAGAGAGAGAGAGAAAGAGAAAAAGAGAGAGAGAGAAAUUUUUCAAUAUUUAUUUUUUAGUUUUCGGUGAACACAACAUCUUUAUUUUAUUUUUAUGUGGUGCUGAGGAUCGAACCCGGCGCCCCGCUCAUGCCAGGGGAGUACAUUACCACUUGAGCCACAUCCCCAGCCCCACAGUCAUAUUUCAACAAUAAUACAAAAACAAAUGAAAGGGAAAAAUCGCCAAGCUAAUGACCAGGACCUGGAAAAAAAAAUAUAUCUAGAGGGCUCUCAGGUCUCACUCAUGAAUAUAUUCAUACAGUACAAAAAAGAGAAAAUUAACACAAAAAUUGUGGAGACAACAUUAUUGAGGUGUCUCAAUAUAGACCACAUCCACAUUCCUUUAGAAUAUAGAGAGAUUUUAAGUGAAGAAGAGCUUUCACUAAGGGUAUACCACAAGUAUUCUGCAGUGUACAACACAAUUGCCAGGUCUCUAAAGAGGAUCCCACUUUUUGACAGGGAAAGUGAAAUUCUCAAACCCUGACACAAUAUACACUGUUUCAAAAUAAACUGAUCAUCACCGAAGAACUAUCAAGGAAAUUACACUAUAAAACCAACUGGAAAUAUAUUGAAAAAUUCACAAUAAUCUAAUCUCUUGAAACAUUAUGGCAAGAGAAGACUGAAUGGAAGAGAAAUCCAAUCCAACAGACAUAUAAAACUCAGCACAGGAACAGAAGAAAUCAGAAACAUUAAGGUAAGUUGAUAUCUCCUAAAGUUCAUAAUUCAGCAGCAGCUGACUCUAAAAAUAUUGACAUAGAUGAAAUAUCAGAUAAAAAAUAGAGUACACCAUUCUGAAGACAGAGUCUCACAUGUAGGCCAUCUAAACAUAAACAGUAAAAAAUCUUCAGAUAUUAAAAAGUGGUUUAAAUAUAAUUAAGUUAACA
rnacentral:lncRNA from 1 species